GGGAUAUUGGACAAUGGGGGGAACCCUGAUCCAGCGACGCCGCGUGAGUGAAGAAGUAUCUCGGUAUGUAAAGCUCUAUCAGCAGGGAAGAAGAAAUGACGGUACCUGAGUAAGAAGCCCCGGCUCACUACGUGCCAGCAGCCGCGGUAAUACGUAGGGGGCAAGCGUUCUCCGGAAUUACUGGGUGUAAAGGGAGCGUAGACGGUGGUGGAAGUCUGGAGUGAAAGGCGGGGGCCCAACCCCCGGACUGCUCUGGAAACUAUGUGACUGGAGUGCAGGAGAGGUGAGCGGAAUUCCUAGUGUAGCGGUGAAAUGCGUAGAUAUUAGGAGGAACACCAGUGGCGAAGGCGGCUCACUGGACUGUAACUGACGUUGAGGCUCGAAAGCGUGGGGAGCAAAC
rnacentral:rRNA from 1 species